ensembl:lncRNA
UUCUGACACUCAGAGACUAGGGUGAAGACGCAGCCAGCCCUAGGACAAAGGACGCCUGGGGGCCCCAGAAGCUGGAGGAGCAGCCCCAGGAAACUCACACGCCAGCCGUGGGUGCUUCCUGAGCCUCUGUGGUAAAGCCUCUUCUCUGCAUUUUGCAAAGUUCAAAGCCGGUGUUUAACAGGGUUCUGGACAGUGCCAAACGCUGUGAAAGGUAGAAGAAAUGAGCGGCUACGGUCCCAGGACCCAAGCAACUUACAACUCUAUGGGAGAGACAGACCUGAUUCUUCUACCUUCUCAUUUAAGGCAGUAUGUCUUGUAAUGGUGAUGCCAAGUGCAAAGGCAUAUAGAAAAAGAAGAGGCGAAAGGAGAGGCUUCGGGAGGGCCACAGACUGAACAGGCUGCAUUUUCACUUGAAGGAAAAUCUUCUUUUACAUGAUGUCUCUUCCUACACGCCCACGCUUAAUAUGGCGCCUGAAUAAAUUAAGGGGCUGAAUAAAUGUCUGCUGAAUUAACAAAGGAAUGAAUAAAUGAACAUAUAAAGUGAAGAUAGAAAUAAAAUCAUCUUGGACAAAGGAAAGCUGGGGACAAGAUUUAUAGAGGACCUCGGGUGACAGGCUUGGAAACUUGAAUUCUGUCUUCAGUGUAGUUCUUGAGUGAAGGAGUGAGUUUGUGAUUUUGGAAGAGAAUUCUGCCAGCAGCGUGAAGAGUGCCCUGGAAGAAGGAAGACUUUUAGGCAGGGAAACCAAUUAAGAUACGGGGAGCUUCGCCUCUCCAGAUUGAAAUGAAAUAUUUUAGAUGUAUUUAAGGCCAGAUAACUUUUGCAGAUCUGGCUUCUUGGCCCGAAGUUUUCCCAGAUUGGGAAUGAUGCAAUGGUAUCAGCUGAAGGUCACUGGCUGCCUGCCUGGGCUCAAUUAGGAAACUGUGCCUGUAGGGUAACCUACAUUUUCUGUACCUUUCCAGGCUGGAAACUUUGCCAGAUGGCCCAUGUCAGGAGACUCUGUCGUGCCUGGCAAGGCUGUCUUUUACCCUUUUACCAUCAAAUGAGAAAGCAGUUUCUAGAGACCUGACACGUCCCUAUAACUGACUCAAGUGUAAAGCACAAAUGCCAGGGUGAGUAGGGCCACCAGAGAAUCAGAAGCAAGUACCACCGGGCCUCUCUGGGCACAGCCCAGACACUCGGUUGACGCUGACUCUUAGUAAUGUUCAAAGGGAUCCUUCAGACUCAUCUCCUGUUUCUUCUGCUAUCAUGGGGGAAAGGUUGGGCCCUGCAGGCUGAAAUUUUAGUAAGACUGUCACUUGCCUCCCACUGUCUUUCCUGCAAUGACUCUCCCCUUUAAUCCACACCCCCAAUCCUCUUGGUGUCACCAACUUCUCAUGCUUUCCGUGGGAUGACUCCUAAUACCACACUAAGAGCAAUGGAGAAGAGGUGUCUGGAGGCAUCAGUAACAGUAUCUCCAGCUCAGGUUAAUCCUGUUGAGGAAGAUGUAACAGGCCCCAGUGUCAGCACCCAGGCAGGUGUGAGCAGGCUGUUGAUAUCACAUCCUGACAUCAGACAGAGGCGGCCACGUAGGACAGCAGCUUCAGACUCAGGUUCCCAGUGGGCACUCAGCUGAGCAGCUCUGAGGAACCAGAGUGUCUUGCUGUGGAAGCCAAGACUUGGGAAUCCUUGCUCUCUAUCUCAAGGGUGCCUGAUAAGUGGCCUUUACGCAGCACCCGUCAAGGCUUCCAUCCAUCAAACGAGAGGCAAUGGCAGCUGAGGAGCUUACUAAUAGAAAUGCUUGUGAAGCUAGGGGCUAAGGUGUUUCAGAAUACUCUCAUGAUGAGACUUUAGAGAGAGUCUGUCUGAGGAAGAGAAAGGCUCUGCUGUUGAACACAAGGGCAGCAGCGUUGUCUCCGCGGGAGCACUGCCGUUCCCCCAGCCCCAGCCUUUGCUCUGCUUGUCACACACACACCACUGAAUGCACAAACUCAGCCCCCAGGGAAGUGUGGGUCAAGGAAGGGCAUUGGAUCCUCUUGGCCUUUUCCUCCUACUGCUGGCUGAGGUGGAGGAUACAGUGUGACAAGGGCAGAGAAGCAAGGCGGGAGGAACUUGUGUCCCUGACGAUGAGAAGUGAGACCACCCGCAUCCAUGCAGCUUAACCAGCAAGACUGAGAUCUAAGACCUCCUGUGUCAACAGGACUUACUAUUUGUCUAGGAAAUUCUUGUUCAGGAAGAUACGACUGUAAACCAAUAAACAGCCUCACUGUUUGCUUCAGGAAAUUCAUGAAAAAGAAUUUCUUCUAACAAAAGAUCCUUCUCAGGAUGAGAGAUGGCUCACUGGGGCAAACAGCUGGUUUAUCAAACAACCGUUCACUCAUCAAGAUUUGAAGCUUCAAGCCUUGUGUCCACCAGGCCUAAACUACUACAUCAUAGACUUGGCCCGGUGCUUCUUAGAUCCCAGCCGUGAGAGGCCUGCCUUGGACCCUUGAGCUGAGACCCCCGCAACCCUGAAAUACCCACCUGGCCCUGCCCCUUAUGACACACCAAGAGAGUCUCCGGACUGCCUCUGGUCAAGGCCACGCUCUCCCCUCCUGCAGUUGGCUUCAUCACCUUAGCUUUGGUUCGUUGGCAGGCUGUUCUGGUGGUAUUUGGGGAGUCAGCAGUUGACAGUGAUCAUGGAGGUGCCGUUCCAGCCCUGGACUCUAUUCUCAUGAGAGGGACAUAAACUGCUAUCUUGUCAAGGCAUUUUUAUUUUGAAGUUCUGGUCACUGGCAGCCACACCUGAUCCCGCCACACUUCUCCGCCUCCCCCUCCACGCCGUACUCAUCUUCACACCUCACACAGUGUCUGACACAUAAUAAGAGCCCCCUUGCACAUGUGUUAAAAGGUCAGGGACUGGAUCUUUUUAUUGAACUCUGCAGUAAGCUGCUCAGUAGAGUUUCUUAUAGUUUCUGGACACCUACCCCAAAAAACUGAUUUCAAAACAAUCAAACAGAUCAUGACCGAUACAUCUAAACGAGUGUUGUUUCCUUCAAAGUAUUCACCUGGGGAAUCUGUUCAUGUAUCUUAAGGAUACUGCUAUUGCUUGAGACAUUUUCAAAUACCUCUUUUGUAAUUAUGUCUUGAUUUGCUAUCCUCAGUGGUGACAAACCAUCUUUUUUGUGAAAAACAUUUUAUUAUGGAUAAUUUCAAACAUAUACAAAAGUAGAAUAAUAUUAUGAACAAUUGUCAACUUAGGACCAAUCUUUUUUCAUUUAGGCCCUUACGCCUACCUUUUUUCACCUGGAUUAUUUUGAAGCUAAUCCCAGACAUCACACCAUUUGACCCAAAAGGAUUUAAGCAUGUGUUCCUAAAAGAUAUGGCCUCCUUAAAAAACGUUAACCAUAAUACCAUUAUCCCACCUAAAAAUUCAUAAUAAUUUCUUAAUAUCAUAUGUUCAAUGUUUAAACUUCCCUGUUUCAUAAAAAUUUAUUUGUAAAAAUCAAGAUGAAAAUAAAUUCA